rnacentral:lncRNA from 1 species
CACAGACUCAUUCAGCAGCUCCAGGCAGCCCAAAGCUCCUGGUCGGGCACUUCCCGAGGCCUCACCCUCUAUCUAUUGUUGGUUCGACCAUCCUGGAAAUUCUUAGUGCAAUAGGAAAUAGCCAAAGGGAGGGGUCUAUUUUGCUUUUGGGGCGAGAUGCAGACAGUCGCCUUGUUUUUCUUCUCUGCUUCACUUUAAGCUAGCAGGAAAAGGAAGGUCUCAACCUGGUCAUUGCUUAUACAUGAGGAUGGUGCUGGGCUCCGUCAGGGAGCAGUCCAUGCUCCUGCACCAGUCCUGGCUCCUGCGGAAGACUGGCAGCUCAGCACCCCCGGCCGUGGCUGGAGCUAGCUGUGAUGUUGCUGACAGAUGUUUUUCAGGAGGAAGAGGAUGGAUAUGCUGCCAAGGGUGUGCGCUGGGCUGCUUCUCCUGUCCCUGCUCUACACCACAGGCCUCUGCCAAAGGAACAAAAAUAACCGCUGCGUGUUGUCCCAAGCGAAGAGCUGCACUGAGUGUGUCCGCGUGGACAAGGACUGCUCCUUCUGCACAGAUGAGAGUUUCAAAGAGCCUCGCUGCGACUUGCGGGAGAAUUUGCUGCGAUACGGCUGCGAGGAGGCCAGUAUUGUGUACAUGAGAGGCGAGAUGAGGGCUCUGCAGGUAGGUGCUAGGUAGAGAUUUGUUGUUCCACUUCUUCUGAAGGGUCCUACUUUUUCCAA